rnacentral:lncRNA from 12 species
GUAUAAGAUUAAUCAGCUAUCUGAAGUUCUUGGGUUCUAAUACUUUUGUUCAUCAUGUCUGCUGGCUCUUACUCAUUGCAGAUUAUUUCCUCAGACAUUUUUAAGAGUUUUGGUUGUGAACUCAUCCUCUGAAAAUACUGUGCAGCCUGACUUUCCAGUUCCCUGGGGAUUUUUAUUGGCUGGAACAAUUUUUUGUAUUCUUUUCUUAAAUUGGGUUUUCCUGAACCAUGCUGUUAGUAUGAAAUGGAAUCCAAAAUCUGCAUUAAGUACAGUAAUACAUUCCCAGGAAGGAUUUUUUUUUCCCUCCGACUACCAGGGCAGUGACACAUGAGUCUUUUUUUUUUUUUUUUUUUUUUUUUGGCCCUGUGAUCUUAUGUGUAUAUUUAUCUAGCUUAAUUUUUUAGUAAGAGUGUUGUUCUUUAAAGGCCCCCACUUGCCAUGGAAAUCUUGAUCUUCCUCACUCAUAUGGGACCAAAACACUGCCUCCUGUCUUGGCAGGAGUUUUGAAAUUCAAGCCUCAAGAUUAUGGAGACUGACAUCUCUUCCUCUGGGAUAAGCACAGUGUCACUGCUUUGGUUUUAGCUUAUUCUUUAUUUCAGACUUCUGUGAUUUCCUUUACUUUUUUCAAGCUGCAUUUAAAAUCAUCUUUGUUCUAUUUUAUCUUGCAUUACCAAAUAUUUGAAAUGGCUUGGUUUCUAAACCAUUUAACUAAAAAUUGAAGUCCUCUCACUCUUUGUUCAAUUGCAGCUGAUAUAACUUCACCUGUAGGAUGUAACUAGAGCUUGAAGAACCACCUGUGUGAACUCCCCAAAGACCUGAAAGCUUGAAUUCACAUGUAUCUUCCAAGAUUUGCAUCUUCAUCAAGGCAUCGCAUGUCAGGGAAGAUGAGAAGGACCCAUGCUGCCGUGAGCUGGCCCAGCCGGCAUGGCUUUGGCUCCCGAGACGCAGCGUGGUCCGAGCCGGGUCUGCGCAGCUGCCUCUUCAGGCACGAGCUCUGGCUGAGCAGGAGCAAGCCAGGAGGAGAGAGCAUCUGGCUGAGGUCUCCUCGGGGUGAAGCGCUCACCCUCCGACUUGGCCUCGCCCACCCCUCCACCCUUUCCAACCCUGACGCUGCCUUGGCCUGCACUGGCGAGUGGUACAUGUGAGCUGCCCCGUGACAUGUGGUUGUGCUUAACUCUAUAGAACUUUGAACCAACCUCAAGCUGCGCCAGUGAAAAGAUCAAAGUCAAUAAAGUGUAUGUAUUUUAUAAACGGUGAACUUUU